AUUGAACGCUGGCGGCAGGCCUAAUACAUGCAAGUCGAACGGUAACAUAAGAAAAGCUUGCUUUUCUUGAUGACGAGUGGCGGACGGGUGAGUAAGAUUUGGGAAACUACCUGAUAGAGGGGGACAACAGUUGGAAACGACUGCUAAUACCGCAUACAGCCUCAGGGUGAAAGAAGCGAUUCGCUAUCAGAUGUGCCCAAACGGGAUUAGCUAGUAGGUGAGGUAAAGGCUCACCUAGGCGACGAUCUCUAGCUGGUCUGAGAGGAUGAUCAGCCACAUUGGGACUGAGACACGGCCCAGACUCCUACGGGAGGCAGCAGUAGGGAAUAUUGCACAAUGGAGGAAACUCUGAUGCAGCCAUGCCGCGUGUGUGAAGAAGGCCUUCGGGUUGUAAAGCACUUUCGGAGGGGAGGAAAAAAAUGACGUUACCCUCAGAAGAAGCACCGGCUAACUCCGUG
rnacentral:rRNA from 1 species